GGAUUAGAUACCCUGGUAGUCCACGCCCUAAACGAUGUGCGCUAGAUGUCUGGGGACUUGUCCUUCGGUGUCGGAGCUAACGUGUUAAGCGCACCGCCUGGGGAGUACGGCCGCAAGGUUAAAACUCAAAGGAAUUGACGGGGGCCCGCACAAGCGGUGGAGCAUGUGGUUUAAUUCGACGCAACGCGCAGAACCUUACCAGCCCUUGACAUGUUGGUUAAAGCCAGGCGAGAGCUUGGUGUUCCUUCGGGAGGCCAUCACAGGUGCUGCAUGGCUGUCGUCAGCUCGUGUCG
rnacentral:rRNA from 1 species